rnacentral:rRNA from 1 species
AUUGAACGCUGGCGGCAUGCCUUACACAUGCAAGUCGAACGGCAGCACGGGGCAACCCUGGUGGCGAGUGGCGAACGGGUGAGUAACACAUCGGAACGUGCCCAGUAGUGGGGGAGUAGCUCGGCGAAAGCCGGAUUAAUACCGCAUACGACCUACGGGUGAAAGCGGGGGAGUCGCAAGACCUCGCGCUAUCGGAGCGGCCGAUGUCAGAUUAGGUUGUUGGGGGGUAAAGGCCUACCAAGCCGACGAUCUGUAGCUGGUCUGAGAGGACGACCAGCCACACUGGGACUGAGACACGGCCCAGACUCCUACGGGAGGCAGCAGUGGGGAAUUUUGACAAUGGGCGCAAGCCUGAUCCAGCCAUGCCGCGUGCGGGAAGAAGGCUCGG